CAAAUCAAAAACAAUCACUAACCAAGCUACAAUUACGACCACAAAAUCCACCGGUAAGUCUCCUGCCUCCGAAGUUUCGCUCGGACCAAAAUCCAUUUCUGGGAGGCCAAAAACAUUGCAAAAGGUGGGACCUUUAUUGGCUUAGAGCUGCUACGAUCAAGGUGGAGGUCGCUUCAUAGGGUACCAGCCUAAUCAGCACGUAGUACCUUUGUUAGUUUAGAAUCUCAAAACACUAUAUUGGUUUGUGGGUUUCAGAAAAACUGAGAACUGUUCUUUAUAUUUGUAUGCAGGAGAUCGAUUUUGAGUUUGAGACUGAAUAAAAGAAAUAUCUUACCAGACAAGGAAAUAAUUAAGAGUCAUUGAAAGAUGAAACUAAAAGACUUAGCUUUCUUCAAGAAAAAAAAAAUGUAUAUGGCAAAUCUUCAAAAGCUCCUGCUAAAAACGAAAAGAGAGACAAUGUCAGGAACCAAAGGGAGCAUCUGGUUUGUUUACUUGCUGAUAAUCAUAUAAGGUUGACUCCCAGGCCAGAGUUUCUGAAUAAGCUCGACGAUAGAGCCGUUGAUGCCGUCAAGACAAAGUUCUUUAAGAACUACAAGAACUGGUGCAAA